CGGGACAAAAGCCUAGCCUUUAGUCCCGGUUGGUACCACCAACCGGGAUUAAAAGCCGGUUCCACCAGCCGGGACUAGUGUUGGAAUUUAGACCCGGUUUUUAAAAGGAACCGGGACUAAAUGUCCCUCCCCAUAUUUGAACUCUUCUUCCCGUGGCCGAGCCCAUCGAUCUUCACUCUUUUGUUGUGUUCUUCAUUCGGAGUUGCUUGUUAUUGCUCUCAUCUCCGGCUAUUGAUUCAUUUCAUCGUUUCUACACCGUCAUCGACUUGUUAAGAGGUCACUAGCUUUAUCUUCUCAACAUUUAGAAGCGGCAUAUGUCAUUUCCUAGUGUUACGUAUAUUAUUUUUUAUUUUAUGGUUUUUUAAGAGGUUAUUAGCUUCAUCGCCAUUUCAAAAGCGACGUGUUUUUUUAGAGAAAUAGUGGUAAUAUGUUUUUUAUUUUAAUUAGUUUAGAAAAAAAUAAAAACAUAUAAUACUUUAAUUUGCAAUUUUUGACCGAUUUAGUUAGUUAAUUAUAACUAGUAUGCAUACCACAUUUCAUGAUUAUUUAGGAAAAUAGAGAAUUUUUGUGCUUUUUUAAUUUUGCUUGUUUAGAAAAAUUAGAAAUAGAGAAUUUUAGGUUUUUUGUUACUUUAAUUUCUCUAUUAAAAAUUAGAAACUUAUAAUACUUUAAUUUGCAAUUUAUGACAAGGUUAAUUAGUUAAUUAUAACUAGUAUGCAUACCACAUUUCAUGAUUAGUUAGAAAUAUAGAUAACUUUUGUGUUUUUUUUUAAUUUUGGUUGUUUAGAAAAAUUAGAAAUAGAGAAUUUUAGGUUUUUUGUUACUUUAAUUUCUCUAUUAAAAAUUAGAAACUUAUAUUUCUUUAAUUUGCACUUUAUGACAUGGUU
rnacentral:lncRNA from 1 species